UACGUAGGGUGCAAGCGUUAAUCGGAAUUACUGGGCGUAAAGCGUGCGCAGGCGGUUAUAUAAGACAGAUGUGAAAUCCCCGGGCUCAACCUGGGAACUGCAUUUGUGACUGUAUAGCUAGAGUACGGCAGAGGGGGAUGGAAUUCCGCGUGGAGCAGUGACAUGCGUCGAUCGGCGGAGGAACACCGAUGGCGAAGGCAAUCCCCUGGGCCUGUACUGACGCUCAUUCACUAAAGCUUGGUCAGCAAACAGUAUUAGAUACCCGCUUAGUCC
rnacentral:rRNA from 1 species